rnacentral:rRNA from 1 species
GAUGAACGCUGGCGGCGUGCCUAAUACAUGCAAGUCGAGCGAACAGACGAGGAGCUUGCUCCUCUGACGUUAGCGGCGGCCGGGUGAGUCACACGUGGAUAACCUACCUAUAAGACUGGGAUAACUUCGGGAAACCGGAGCUACUACCGGAUAAUAUAUUGAACCGCAUGGUUCAAUAGUGAAAGACGGUUUUGCUGUCACUUAUAGAUGGAUCCGCGCCGCAUUAGCUAGUUGGUAAGGUAACGGCUUACCAAGGCGACGAUGCGUAGCCGACCUGAGAGGGUGAUCGGCCACACUGGAACUGAGACACGGUCCAGACUCCUACGGGAGGCAGCAGUAGGGAAUCUUCCGCAAUGGGCGAAAGCCUGACGGAGCAACGCCGCGUGAGUGAUGAAGGUCUUCGGAUCGUAAAACUCUGUUAUUAGGGAAGAACAAAUGUGUAAGUAACUAUGCACGUCGUGACGGUACCUAAUCAGAAAGCCACGGCUAACUACGUG